rnacentral:rRNA from 1 species
GACGAACGCUGGCGGAGUGCCUAAUACAUGCAAGUAGAACGAGAUGAGAACGGGUGAGUAACGCGUAGGUAACUGCCUCAGAGGGGGGGAUAAAUAAUGGAAACGAUAGCUGAUACCGGAUAGUGGGAGAUGGACCUGAGUUGGAUUAGUUAGGUGGUGAGGUUAAGGCUCACCACGGCGACAGUACAUACCCGACAGGUGCGGGUUGUACGGCACAACGGGACUUGUGAACGGCCCAAACUCCUACGGGGAGCAACAGUAGGGAAUCAUCGGCAAUGGACUGAAGGCUGAACGCACAACUCCGCGUGGGUGAAGAAGGUUUUCGGAUCUUAAAGCUCUGUUGUUAGAGAAGCGGUAACUAACCAGAAAGGGACGGCUAACUACGUGCCAGCAGCCGCGGUAAUUC